AACAAUAAAGGCGACAGCUGUGAGUGUGAAGAUUAAACAUACAGAGGAGGAGAUGAUGCAAAUGAAAUUUUUGAACAAAUACAAGAGAUGCCAUUGUUGGUGAGAGUGACGGCUGCACAGCUCUUGUGGAGACAGUGUCCCAUGUUCCUUUGAGGAUGCUCUUCCUCAAGAGACACCGGGGCAUGAGAAAAUUCCAUGAAGGCUGGAUUAUCCCAAGAAAACAAAACAGGACAAUUGGCAAAAAGUGGCUGGUCAUGCCGGGUUCCAGAAAUUGAUUUCUGCUCCAGUGAAACUGCGUUGGAGGUUAGAAGAAGGAGAAGCAGACAGGCUCGCUCUCCGCACUCAGUUUACUGAAACCAACUCUGAAAGCACAUUAAUAAACGCUCACUUCCAUGAUUGUUACUUCCCAAGAUGACAGGGUGCCUUUGGUAAUGAGUGUAGUCAUUGGAGAAAGCCCCAUGCAUUUAUAAUAAAUAAACCUAUUAUAAUAUAGAACAACUUUACAGAAAAGAAACAGUUGUAUUAAAAGCCCUCAAGAUGUCCCAAAGCACUUUAUAGCCAAUUAAGUAUUAUUUUGUAAUGUAGGAAACAGUUGUAAUGUAGGAAACACAACAGCCAAUUUGUUCACAGUAAACCUGCUGACACAGCAAGGCCAGGAUGAUCACUGGGUUUUACUGAUGAUAGUUGAGCACUAAGAUUGACAAGCACACGAGGAAAAAUUGCCUCACUGUUUUCCAAAACAAUAACGUGAGAUUUUUAAAAAAUGUCCACACAAGGUGGUCAAUGAGCUCAAUCGAAAAGCAGCACCUUUGACCAUGCAGCACUCCUUCAGUACCAUCCUGGGAUGUUUACUAACAGAUUAAUCUCAAGUAGCUGGACUGGGAAAAUCCGGUCAAAGUCUUAAGUUAUGAUCAAAACAAAUUAUUCUGCUCAACAUUUCAGGAUCUUGUUCACACAACUUUUCCCUUUGGCUUGCACCGCACCCAAACAUUUCUGUUUGUCUUUGCCUUUUAAUUAAAAUAUUCGCUACUGGU